CCAGAUCGGCCAUGGUGGCAGGGAAACGCCCGUUCCCAUUCCGAACACGGAAGCUAAGCCUGCCAGCGCUCUUGGUAGGUUCCUGGAAACGGGGUGGGAGAGUAGGACGCCGCCAGGU
rnacentral:rRNA from 1 species